AUUGAACGCUGGCGGCGUGCCUAACACAUGCAAGUCGAGCGGUAACAGGUGUAGCAAUACAUGCUGACGAGCGGCGAACGGGUGAGUAAUGCUUCGGAAUCUGCCCAUGUAGUGGGGAAUAACCAGCCGAAAGGUUGGCUAAUACCGCAUACGACCUACGGGUGAAAGCAGGGGAUCGCAAGACCUUGCGCUAUCGGAUGAGCCGAAGUCGGAUAGCUUGUUGGUAGGGUAACGGCCUACCAAGCGACGAUCCGUAGCUGGUCUGAGAGGAUGACCAGCCACACUGGGACUGAGACGCGGCCCAGACUCCUACGGGAGGCAGCAGUGGGGAAUAUUGGACAAUGGGCGAAAGCCUGAUCCAGCCAUGCCGC
rnacentral:rRNA from 1 species